AGGGGGUCUGAGGCAGCCGCGUUUUCCUUUGGGGAAGCGAGGAAAGUCCGGGCUCCACGAAGCAAGGGUGGCGGGUAACGCCCGCCGGGAGUGUUUGUUCGCGAGCGCGACUAGGGAAAGUGCCACAGAGAGUAUACCGCCGAUGGUCCGAGCAAGGAUACAGGCAAGGGUGAAAGGGUGCGGUAAAAGCGCACCGGGGCGUUUGGCAACAGCGUCCGCAUGGUAAACCCCACCCGGAGCAAGGCCAAAUAGGGGUCUCGCGCCGACAUGUCGGCAGGCGCGCUUCGCGCUGAGGAGAUCCGGGUUGGCUGCUAGAGCGGCUUGGCAACAGGUCGCCCAGAUGAAUGGCUGCCGCCGCAGCGCUGGUCUUUUGGGAUACCGGUUGCGGAGACAGAACCCGGCUUAUGAUGGCCCCCUGAUA
rnacentral:RNase_P_RNA from 2 species